rnacentral:rRNA from 1 species
UUGUUGGAGAGUUUGAUCCUGGCUCAGGACGAACGCUGGCGGCGUGCUUAACACAUGCAAGUCGAGCGGUAAGGCCUCUUCGGGGGUACACGAGCGGCGAACGGGUGAGUAACACGUGGGUGACCUGCCCUCAGCUCUGGGAUAAGCCUGGGAAACCGGGUCUAAUACCGGAUAGGACCUUGCCUCGCAUGGGGUGGGGUGGAAAGUUUUUUCGGCUGGGGAUGGGCCCGCGGCCUAUCAGCUUGUUGGUGGGGUGAUGGCCUACCAAGGCGACGACGGGUAGCCGGCCUGAGAGGGCGACCGGCCACACUGGGACUGAGAC